GUAGGUGGCAAGCGUUGUCCGGAAUUAUUGGGCGUAAAGCGCGCGCAGGCGGUUCUUUAAGUCUGAUGUGAAAGCCCACGGCCCAACCGUGGAGGGUCAUUGGAAACUGGAGAACUUGAGUACAGAAGAGGAAAGCGGAAUUCCACGUGUAGCGGUGAAAUGCGUAGAGAUGUGGAGGAACACCAGUGGCGAAGGCGGCUUUCUGGUCUGUAACUGACGCUGAGGCGCGAAAGCGUGGGGAGCAAACAGGGAUUAGACACCCUGGUAGUCCACGCCGUAAACGAUGAGUGCUAAGUGUUAGGGGGUUUCCGCCCCCUUAGUGCUGCAGCUAACGCAUUAAGCACUCCGCCUGGGGAUACGGCCGCAAGGCUG
rnacentral:rRNA from 1 species